rnacentral:rRNA from 1 species
UACGUAGGUGGCGAGCGUUGUCCGGAUUUACUGGGCGUAAAGAGCGCGCAGGCGGUUCCGCAAGUCAGGCGUGAAAUCCCCGGGCUUAACCUGGGAAUGGCGCUUGAAACUACGGGACUGGAGUAUGGCAGAGGGAGGUGGAAUUCCACGUGUAGCGGUGAAAUGCGUAGAGAUGUGGAGGAACACCGAUGGCGAAGGCAGCCUCCUGGGCCAAUACUGACGCUCAUGCACGAAAGCGUGGGGAGCAAACAGG